rnacentral:lncRNA from 1 species
CGAGCAUCCAGUUCCGGCCAUCCCUCUCCUUAACCAUCCGGCCCCCUCUACGGGUGUGGAUGCAGCCCGCGAUUGGAACCGGCUCCAUCCCUUAGUAAUAUCGUCGAUUGGAAACGGAGGUAAAAAUGUCUUCUCGGAGUCGGGUAAUGGCUGUCGACGUUGAUGGCUAAAAAUGUGGGAGAAUACCUAAUUUCUCCGUUUGAUAAAUUCAGAAUUUCAAUAUCGUUAUUAAAAUUUCGCUCUUACCUCGGGGAAGAUGGACGGUGGGGGAAGGGAAGCCGGAAUUAUCCACCUUUUCCAUCUCCAGAGGAUUUUUUGUCAACAGAUGACGCCACUUUCCAUUCCGGAAGAACACUUAAGUGGCGGGGCGAAA